UACGAAGGGGGCUAGCGUUGUUCGGAAUUACUGGGCGUAAAGCGCGCGCAGGUGGUCUUUCAAGUCAGUGGUGAAAGCCCGGAGCUCAACUCCGGAAAUGCCAUUGAAACUGUAAGACUUGAGGAUGAGAGAGGUGAGUGGAAUUCCCAGUGUAGAGGUGAAAUUCGUAGAUAUUGGGAAGAACACCGGUGGCGAAGGCGGC
rnacentral:rRNA from 1 species